rnacentral:rRNA from 1 species
AGCGAACGCUGGCGGCAGGCCUAACACAUGCAAGUCGAGCGGGCGUAGCAAUACGUCAGCGGCAGACGGGUGAGUAACGCGUGGGAACGUACCUUUUGGUUCGGAACAACACAGGGAAACUUGUGCUAAUACCGGAUAAGCCCUUACGGGGAAAGAUUUAUCGCCGAAAGAUCGGCCCGCGUCUGAUUAGCUAGUUGGUGAGGUAAUGGCUCACCAAGGCGACGAUCAGUAGCUGGUCUGAGAGGAUGAUCAGCCACAUUGGGACUGAGACACGGCCCAAACUCCUACGGGAGGCAGCAGUGGGGAAUAUUGGACAAUGGGCGCAAGCCUGAUCCAGCCAUGCCGCGUGAAGUGAUGAAGGCCCUAGGGUUGUAAAGCUC